rnacentral:rRNA from 1 species
AUUGAACGCUGGCGGCAUGCCUUACACAUGCAAGUCGAACGGUAACGGGCCUUCGGGUGCCGACGCGUGGCGAACGGGUGAGUAAUACACCGGAACGUGCCCGAUCGUGGGGGUUAACGAGGCGAAAGCUUUGCUAAUAUCGCAUACGAUCGACGGUUGAAAUCAGGGGACCGCAAGGCCUUGCGCGGGCGGAGCGGGCGAUGGGCGAGUAGGUAGUUGGUGGGGUAAAGGUUUUGCAAGACGACGGUUUGUAUGUGGUCUGAGAGGGUGAUCAGCCACACUAGAACUGAGACACGGCCCAGACUCCUGCGAGACGCAGCAGUGUGGUAUGUUAGACAGUGGGCGCAAGUCUGAUCCAGCCAUGCCGCGUGCAGGAUGACGGCCUUCGGGUUGUGAACAGCUUUUGUACGGAACGAACAGCCUUCUUUUGAUACGGGAGGGUCAUGACGGUACCGGAAGAAUAAGCACCGGCUAACUACGUG